UACAGAGGGGGGCAAGCGUUGUUCGGAAUUACUGGGCGUAAAGGGCGCGUAGGCGGCCUGCUAAGUCGAACGUGAAAUCCCUGGGCUCAACCCCAGGAACUGCGUCCGAUACUGGUUGGCUUGAAUCCGGGAGAGGGAUGUGGAAUUCCAGGUGUAGCGGUGAAAUGCGUAGAUAUCUGGAGGAACACCGGUGGCGAAGGCGGCAUCCUGGACCGGUAUUGACGCUGAGGCGCGAAAGCCAGGGGAGCAACGGG
rnacentral:rRNA from 1 species